rnacentral:lncRNA from 8 species
AUGUCAAUUAAAUAUAGCUACUGUGGCAGCUCAUCAGCUGUGAAUGAACACAUCUUGAUUCAGAAGUUAAGACACAAGAAGCACAGCAGAGGAAUGAGUGGAGCUCUGUUCUCUUCUCCCCUCCCCUCUACACCACUGCUCUCCCCUCCUGCUCUCCUCUCCCUUCUACACCACUGCUCUCCCCUCCUCCUCUCCCUCCCCUCUACACCACUGCUCUCCCUCCCCUCUACACCGCUGCUCUCCCCUCCUCCUCUCCUCCCCUCUACACCGCUGCUCUCCUCUCCCUCCCCUCUACACCACUGUUCUCUUCUCCCUCCCCUUUACACCUCUGCUCUCCUCUCCCUCCCCUCUACACCGCUGCUCUCCUCUCCCUCCCCUCUACACCGCUGCUCUCCCCUCCUCCUCUCCCUCCCCUCUACACCGCUGCUCUCCCCUCCUCCUCUCCCUCACAUCUACACCACUCCUCUCCCUCCCCUCUACACCACUGCUCUCCUCUCCUUCCCCUCUACACUGCUGCUCUCCUCUCCCUCCUCUCUACACCACUGCUCUCUUCUCCCUCCCCUUUACACCUCUGCUCUCUUCUCCCUCCCCUCUACACCUCUGCUCUCCUCUCCCUCCCCUCUACACCACUCCUCUCCUCUCCCUCCCCUCUACACCACUGCUCUCCUCUCCCUCCCCUCUACACCACUGCUCUCCCUCCCCUCUACACCACUGCUCUCCUCUCCCUCCCCUCUACACCACUGCUCUCCCUUCCCUCUACACCGCUGCUCUCCCCUCUACACCGCUCCUCUCCUCUCACUUCCCUCUCCACCGCUGCUCUCCCUCCCCUCUACACCGCUCCUCUCAUCUCACUUCCCUCCUCACCGCUGCUCUCCCCUCCCCUCUACACCACUCCUCUCCUUUCCCCCUACACCGCUGCUCUCCUCUCCCUCCUCUCUACACCGCUGCUCUCCUCUCCCUUCCCUCUACACCGCUGCUCUCCCCUCUACACCGCUCCUCUCCUUUCCCCCUACACCACUGCUCUCCUCUCCCUCCCCUCUACACCUCUGCUCUCCUCUCCCACCCCUCCCCACCGCUGCUCUCCUCUCCCUCCCCUCUACACCGCUGGGAGGACAAACGAUAAGGACAAAAAGGUGUCUGCGCUGA